CUUUAUACUUUACAUAGUUUGUCGUGAGGUUCUGAAUCACAGUUUCAUGAAUUGCUUUGAUAUGAUCUGCCAUAUGAUUUGCAAUAAUACUAGUACCCAGUGUCUUUGGCACUUGUAAUAAGUCUAAAGGAAUUCUAGGUGGAAAACAAUACACUAUUAAAAAUGGAGACUGAUUAGUUGAACGAUUAACCAUCGAGUUAUAAGCAAACUCUGCUUGAACUAGGGCAGAAUCCCAUUGUUU
rnacentral:lncRNA from 1 species